rnacentral:rRNA from 1 species
UGCAGUCGACGGUAAGGCCUUUCGGGGUACACGAGUGGCGAACGGGUGAGUAACACGUGGGUGAUCUGCCCUGCACUUCGGGAUAAGCCUGGGAAACUGGGUCUAAUACCGGAUAUGACUGCGAAUCGCAUGGUUUGUGGUGGAAAGCUUUUGCGGUGUGGGAUGGGCCCGCGGCCUAUCAGCUUGUUGGUGGGGUGAUGGCCUACCAAGGCGACGACGGGUAGCCGGCCUGAGAGGGUGACCGGCCACACUGGGACUGAGAUACGGCCCAGACUCCUACGGGAGGCAGCAGUGGGGAAUAUUGCACAAUGGGCGCAAGCCUGAUGCAGCGACGCCGCGUGAGGGAUGACGGCCUUCGGGUUGUAAACCUCUUUCAGUAGGGACGAAGCGCAAGUGACGGUACCUAUAGAAGAAGGACCGGCCAACUACGUGCCAGCAGCCGCGGUAAUACGUAGGGUCCGAGCGUUGUCCGGAAUUACUGGGCGUAAAGAGCUCGUAGGUGGUUUGUCGCGUUGUUCGUGAAAACUCACAGCUCAACUGUGGGCGUGCGGGCGAUACGGGCAGACUAGAGUACUGCAGGGGAGACUGGAAUUCCUGGUGUAGCGGUGGAAUGCGCAGAUAUCAGGAGGAACACCGGUGGCGAAGGCGGGUCUCUGGGCAGUAACUGACGCUGAGGAGCGAAAGCGUGGGGAGCGAACAGGAUUAGAUACCCUGGUAGUCCACGCCGUAAACGGUGGGUACUAGGUGUGGGUUUCCUUCCUUGGGAUCCGUGCCGUAGC